rnacentral:rRNA from 1 species
UUGAAGGAAGCUUGCUUCCUGAUUCAGCGGCGGACGGGCGAGUAAUGCCUAGGAAUCUGCCUGGUAGUGGGGGACAACGUUUCGAAAGGAACGCUAAUACCGCAUACGUCCUACGGGAGAAAGCAGGGGACCUUCGGGCCCUGCGCUAUCAGAUGAGCCUAGGUCGGAUUAGCUAGUUGGUGAGGUAAUGGCUCACCAAGGCGACGAUCCGUAACUGGUCUGAGAGGAUGAUCAGUCACACUGGAACUGAGACACGGUCCAGACUCC